UACGUAGGAGACGAGCGUUGUCCGGAGUUACUGGGCGUAAAGGGUGCGCAGGUGGCGGCGCGCGUGGGGGGUGAAAUCGCCCGGCUUAACUGGGCGGGGGCCUUCCAGACGGCGUGGCUUGAGCAGCGGAGGGGGACGUGGAAUUCCGGGUGGAGCGGUGAAAUGCGUAGAGAUCCGGAGGAACACCAAAGGCGAAGGCAGUGUCCUGGGAAGUACCUGACGCUCAGGUGCGAAAGCCAGGGGAGCGAACGGG
rnacentral:rRNA from 1 species